rnacentral:rRNA from 1 species
CUGUUGCCUCGGCGGGGUCACGCCCCGGGUGCGUCGCAGCCCCGGAACCAGGCGCCCGCCGGAGGAACCAACCAAACUCUUUCUGUAGUCCCCUCGCGGACGUAUUUCUUACAGCUCUGAGCAAAAAUUCAAAAUGAAUCAAAACUUUCAACAACGGAUCUCUUGGUUCUGGCAUCGAUGAAUAACGCAGCGAAAUGCGAUAAGUAAUGUGAAUUGCAGAAUUCAGUGAAUCAUCGAAUCUUUGAACGCACAUUGCGCCCGCCAGUAUUCUGGCGGGCAUGCCUGUCCGAGCGUCAUUUCAACCCUCGAACCCCUCCGGGGGAUCGGCGUUGGGGAUCGGGACCCCUCACACGGGUGCCGGCCCCGAAAUACAGUGGCGGUCUCGCCGCAGCCUCUCCUGCGCAGUAGUUUGCACAACUCGCACCGGGAGCGCGGCGCGUCCACGUCCGUAAAACACCCAACUUUCUGAAAUGUUGACCUCGGAUCAGGUAGGAAUACCCGCUGAACUUAAGCAUAUCAAUAAGCGGAGG